CACCCACAAUCCUGGCUGUGCAAGAAACACUUGACUUCCUCGACUCUUCUCUUUCAAGUCCUUCUUUCACCCUAGGUCACUUCUGUCCCCUGCCUCCAUUCUUAGAAAGCGCUGGUCCUCCUGUCUGUGCCCCAGCCGACGCUCCAUGCACGGCCUGUUGGGGUGUCCCUUCCCUCCUCCGCCCUGCCUGAAGCUCAAGUGUCACCUGUACAGCUGAACCCCAGGUCUGUUUCGGGGCACGGGGAAACAGUCUACAUCCCUCAGGACUUAGGAUGCUCAAAUCUGGACCUCGCGAAGCCAGACCAUAAGAUCUACAGGGGCUCUCAGACGCCACCGCAUCCAACAGCUCGAAGAAGGAACCAGAGAAGACUAGAAACAGGAUGGAAUGGGAAGGUGGAGGGAGAGGCGAAGGGGAAGUCGCGAUGCUGACUGCAAGGCCCCCUCGUCCUCAGGCGUCCAGCUUGCAGAGACUGCCCCUGCCUUGGGAGAGUCCUCACAGGCCACACCUGCCACUGGGCCAGGCCACAGCAGACACUCAUGACAGACGAUAAGAAUGACAGCUGCCCGCGCUUGAGCAGGCACUCUAGGUGACUGUUGUGCUCAGUGCUUUUCAAGCAUAAUCUGCCCUAACCUUCACACCAGCCCUGUGGAGUAGGUGAAUCCCACCCCAUCUUACAGAGGUGGACACUGGGGUUUGGAGUGGUUGAGUGACUCGCUGUCAGACAAGCUGAAAUCUGACUGCAAUGCCUGUGUUUGGAUCCCAUGCCAGAGGUUGCAAGCUGACCCCAGGCCGAUUCAGCCCGUACACAGGUUUCGCUUGAUUCACACACGUGAGGCCUCCUCACUGUUUUAAAUUUUAUUCGUUGUCAACAUUUAGCAAUCAGAAGAGUUAACAUUAAACCUCACAUUUCUGAAUUCUCUAGAAAAAUUAGGACAUCAGGCCUCACUGGGCCUAUGUUUCCUCCUGGGAAUAACUGGCUGAGCUGGGUAGCAGCUGACGCCUUUACAUCAGACUCUUCUGCCUCGUUUGCCCCAGUCCUCACCACUCCCUAUUGUACCUCCAACACCAAAGACAAGAAUCAAAGGCCACUUUUCACCCUC